AGAGCGGAGAACAGACUGACGAACUGUAUGAUUUAUGUGUAUAUGUAAUAUUUAUGGACUAUUGUAGAAGUAAAUGAAUGUAGAUGUAUGUAAUGUAAAAAUGUUUGUCGGUGUUUCACAGACAAUCACGUGGUGCGCUCAACAUUCAUGAAAUGUUCCAACAUCAGCGCGGUUUUUAUUUUCUUUGUUUUUACAAACAGCUAAAUCUACAUCUUGCUCAAAGUACAAAAGAAACGCUGCCUUAUCUUCACGCCACCCUGUUGUGACAAGAGGUAUAUAUAAGCCCUAGAAUUGUCUGUGUUAAUAACGACAAGUCAACACUUACGGAGACAUCAAGAUUAAAAUUACCAGUCCUUCUCCAAACGAACACAUUAUCUGUUGUGAUGGCCACGAAACUAAGAACAACUGUAAUAAUCAUCAUGGCUUUGGUGUGGCUGCAAGCAGCAGUUGUUGACGGGGUACGUAGCAAACUCUUAUGUUUGAAACAUUUUAUAAAAAUAAUGUAUACUUCAUUAUAUGAAUAGAUUCGUGAUAGAGGACACAGUCAUCUGUGAAGAGACAGCACAGGACAAAAGAGAGUACACGACCUUAAGGAUGGCCUAUGGUGAUCACCAUGAUGUUAGAUAAGCUUUUAUUUACUGUGACACUGUCUGA